CUACCUAUCUCCAUUUAUGCUCUAAUCCGUUGAACUUAACCUUCUCUCUCUCUUUUCUAUAUCUCUAAACUGAUUGGUAUCUUUUCUACACCUGGGUUUUCUCUGUUUUCUCAAAUUGAAAGAAAAAAUCCACAAUUCUUUCAACUUACCCAGAAAAAAAAUGAUUCUUGACCAACGAUUUGAUGACACCACCGAUCAAUUCCCGAUCGGAAUGCGAGUUUUGGCCGUCGACGACAACCCAGUUUGUCUCCGGCUACUCGAUUCCCUUCUUCGCAUGUGCCAGUAUCAUGUGACGACAACUAAUGAAGCUAUAACAGCACUGAACUUAUUGAGAGAUAAUAAGAACCAAUUUGAUUUAGUUAUCAGUGAUGUUCACAUGCCGGAUAUGGAUGGUUUUAAGCUUCUUGAGCUAGUUGGACUUGAGAUGGAUCUACCAGUCAUAAUGUUAUCUGCAAAUGGUGAUACAAAACUGGUGAUGAAAGGAAUUACACAUGGAGCUUGUGAUUAUUUGCUUAAACCAGUUAGGAUUGAAGAACUGAAGAACAUAUGGCAACAUGUUAUCAGGAGGAAGAAGAAUGAUCCAAAAGAUCAACUGGUUAAUAAUAAUAAUAAUAAUAAUAAUGAUAAGAAUCAACUUGAGGUUAUUGAUCCAAAUGGAUUCUUUGACCAGAAUGUUAAGCAAAACAGGAAAAGAAAAGAUCAGGAAGGUGAAGACGAUGAUGAAAGUAACAAUAACGACGAUGGAUCCAACCAGAAGAAGCCUCGGGUUGUUUGGACAGUCGAAUUGCAUCGUAAAUUUGUUUCUGCUGUUAAUCAUAUGGGUAUUGAUAAGGCAGUGCCCAAGAAGAGAUUGGAUCUGAUGAAUGUGGAUAAGCUGACUAGAGAAAACGUUGCCAGCCAUCUGCAGAAAUAUAGGCUUUAUUUGAAGAGGAUUAGUUGUGUGGCAAGCCAUCAAGCUAACAUGGUAGCAGCUUUAGGUGGUGUUGAUUCUGCGUUUUUAAGAAUGGGUUCUUUCGGGGAGGAUUUCAGAAUGCUCAUUUUAGGUCUCCGGUUAGUGGAAUGCUAGGCCGGUUGAAUACUCCAACUGCACUUGGACUAGUCCAAUUUGGUCAUGAACUAAACAUGAAUAAUCCGAACCAUGUCCAAAUUGGGGACCUUGUUAAUCCCAGUUCGAGUACUUUUUCUGAUAAAAAUUCUAUGGUUAGACUGCCUAUAGGACAACCUUUGGAUAUUCAGAAGGGUAUAUUGGGAAUUUCAAACUCGGGCACACCAUCUAAUGAUUUCCAUGAUUUUUCUGGAUGUUAUGAGAAUUUUCAAGGUCAAACAGAACCAAUUGGUUACUCGUUUAACAUGGUUAAUGAACUUGGAGACACCAUGUCUUCAAUGGCGAUGACUAAUGGACCUAGUUUGAAUGGUUCGGUUAUGCAAGGAUGGGAUGGAAAUGGAAUAAUAAAUACUUCUCGACAUUCGAAUGACUCGGGUAUGAUUCAAGGGAUGACAAUGAUGGCGCCUUUCAACCAGAGAAUUGAAUCAACAACAACAACAAAUGGUUUAGCAUUUUAUAGUAGUAAUAAUAAUAAUAAUGAAUUUGGUACUAAUUCAAGUUUCUUCAAUUAUUCCUUGUCGGGUAAGCAGAGAUUCCUCGUGGACAAACAAAGAAAGACACAUAAUGGGAUUUCUUAUGUUAACAAUAACGUUGGAUCCUUGGAAGAUCUAAUCGGUCCGGUGAUGAAUCAGGAAAAGGGUUUAUAAUAGAAGAGGAAGAUGAUCCUUUGGAAAUAUGGAAUAUGAUAUCAAGGAGAAGGGGGUUGGUUUAGUUAGUUAGUUAGCAGUAUUUUUAUAUGUUUUAGAGGACUAUAUAUAUAUCAUAUUAUAGUUCUUUUGAACUUUAAAUGAUAUUCCAUUUAACUAGUGUUACACUUGCAAUGGUUUGAUCAUAAUUGCUAGCUAAGAUAACUUUGUAUUAACUAUCUAACCUUAGAUAUUACACAUAAGAAAUAUUAAAUUCUCUAUCCAUUUUUUUAUUGU